rnacentral:misc_RNA from 1 species
GGAAACCUCAAUUCAUUGUAUGGAAGUAAUACUAAUUCACUUUUCAUUUAUGAGAUCUAAUGAAGGUGGUGACAGGAUAUUCAUCAGCAAUACAACUUCAUCACUGCGAUGUGGUGUUGAAGGUAGUGGCUCUGUGCUUUUCAGUUCUUAGGCAUUAUCAAGCUGUUCCUCUGGAUUCUCUGAAUCAUCUCCUCUGCUUUCGAUUCUCUUUAGUUCUUCCAAUACCUCGUCCAUGGUUGGUCUCAAUUCACUGUCUUCCUGCAAACAUAGAAAAGCUAAUUCUGCAACACAGGUUGUCAUUCUUUUAACUUCCUC